rnacentral:rRNA from 1 species
UGGCAGGGGCGGCGUGCUAUAAUGCAAGUCGAACGCACUCUCGUUUAGAUUGAAGGAGCUUGCUCCUGAUUGAUAAACAUUUGAGUGAGUGGCGGACGGGUGAGUAACACGUGGGUAACCUGCCCUAAAGUGGGGGAUAACAUUUGGAAACAGAUGCUAAUACCGCAUAAAACCUAACACCGCAUGGUGUAGGGUUGAAAGAUGGUUUCGGCUAUCACUUUAGGAUGGACCCGCGGUGCAUUAGUUAGUUGGUGAGGUAAAGGCUCACCAAGACCGUGAUGCAUAGCCGACCUGAGAGGGUAAUCGGCCACACUGGGACUGAGACACGGCCCAGACUCCUACGGGAGGCAGCAGUAGGGAAUCUUCCACAAUGGACGAAAGUCUGAUGGAGCAACGCCGCGUGAGUGAAGAAGGUUUUCGGAUCGUAAAACUCUGUUGUUGGAGAAGAAUGUAUCUGAUAGUAACUGAUCAGGUAGUGACGGUAUCCAACCAGAAAGCCACGGCUAACUACGUGCCAGCAGCCGCGGUAAUACGUAGGUGGCAAGCGUUGUCCGGAUUUAUUGGGCGUAAAGCGAGCGCAGGCGGUUUCUUAAGUCUGAUGUGAAAGCCUUCGGCUCAACCGAAGAAGUGCAUCGGAAACUGGGAAACUUGAGUGCAGAAGAGGACAGUGGAACUCCAUGUGUAGCGGUGAAAUGCGUAGAUAUAUGGAAGAACACCAGUGGCGAAGGCGGCUGUCUGGUCUGUAACUGACGCUGAGGCUCGAAAGCAUGGGUAGCAAACAGGAUUAGAUACCCUGGUAGUCCAUGCCGUAAACGAUGAGUGCUAGGUGUUGGAGGGUUUCCGCCCUUCAGUGCCGCAGCUAACGCAUUAAGCACUCCGCCUGGGGAGUACGACCGCAAGGUUGAAACUCAAAGGAAUUGACGGGGGCCCGCACAAGCGGUGGAGCAUGUGGUUUAAUUCGAAGCAACGCGAAGAACCUUACCAGGUCUUGACAUCCUUUGACACUCUAGAGAUAGAGCUUUCCCUUCGGGGACAAAGUGACAGUGUGCAUGGUGUCGUCAGCUCGUGUCGUGAGAUGUGGGUAGUCCGCACGAGCGCACCCUUAUACUAGUGCCAGCAUUUAGUGGGCCCUCUAGUGAGACUGCCGGUGACAAACCGGAGGAAGGUGGGGACGACGUCAAUCAUCCAUGCCCC